rfam:Lupinus angustifolius cultivar Tanjil contig_28872, whole genome shotgun sequence.
AGGUGUGAUCAUACCAACACUAAUGCACCAGAUCCCAUCAGAACUCCACAGAUAAGUGUCCUUGGGCUAGAGUAGUACUAGGAUGGGUGUCCUCCUGGGAAGUCCUCGUGUUGCACCUC